UCCGGUUGAUCCUGCCGGAGGUUACUGCUAUCGAGGUUCGACUAAGCCAUGCGAGUCGAAUGUAGCAAUACAUGGCGUACUGCUCAGUAACACGUGGAUAGCCUACCCUUGAGAUGGGGAUAAACCCGGGAAACUGGGUAUAAUACCCAAUAGAUCUCGACUGCUGGAAUGCAUCGAGCUCCAAAGCUCCGGCGCUCAAGGAUGGGUCUGCGGCCUAUCAGGUAGUAGUGGGUGUAGUGUACCUACUAGCCUACGACGGGUACGGGUUGUGAGAGCAAGAGCCCGGAGAUGGAUUCUGAGACACGAAUCCAGGCCCUACGGGGUGCAGCAGGCGCGAAAACUUUACAAUGCUGGAAACAGCGAUAAGGGGACCUCGAGUGCCAGGUUACAAAUCUGGCUGUCGUGAUGCCUAAAAAGCAUUGCAUAGCAAGGGCCGGGCAAGACCGGUGCCAGCCGCCGCGGUAACACCGGCGGCUCGAGUGGUAACCGUUAUUAUUGGGUCUAAAGGGUCUGUAGCCGGCCGGAUAAGUCUCUUGGGAAAUCUGGCAGCUUAACUGUCAGGCUUUCAGGAGAUACUGUCUGGCUCGAGGCCGGGAGAGGUGAGAGGUACUUCAGGGGUAGGGGUGAAAUCUUGUAAUCCUUGAAGGACCACCAGUGGCGAAGGCGUCUCACCAGAACGGACCUGACGGCAAGGGACGAAAGCUAGGGGCACGAACCGGAUUAGAUACCCGGGUAGUCCUAGCCGUAAACGAUACUCGCUAGGUGUCGGCAACGGUGCGACCGUUGUCGGUGCCGUAGGGAAGCCGUGAAGCGAGCCACCUGGGAAGUACGGCCGCAAGGCUGAAACUUAAAGGAAUUGGCGGGGGAGCACACAACGGGUGAGCUUGCGGUUUAUUGGAUUCAACGCGGGAA
rnacentral:rRNA from 1 species